rnacentral:rRNA from 1 species
AAGCUAAACGUAGAUGGAGCACGGUGGGUGGUCACUGAAUAUUUUGACGAGCACAACCACAAACUCAUAAAGAAGUUUGACCUGGUAAAAUUUCUAAGCACCCACAGAGGAUUCAGCCCCCUCAAGAAGAAAUUCAUAAAGCUGCUACAUGAUUGUAACAUCGGUCCAUCAAGAAUGGUCCAAAUACUGUCCAUGAUCCACAGCAAAAAUGGAACUCUGAGUAGCAUGCCCUACAUACCAGCAGACGUCACAAACCUAAAGGCAAAGUACCGUAGAGAGAGCAGGUUGGCUGACAUAGAAGACACGAUAGCCUACUUCGACGAGAAAGCAAAAGCAGAUCCUGAUUUCUUCUACAGGAUAAGAUUGGACGAUGAGGACCGUGUCAGGAACAUGUAUUGGGUGGAUGGUGCUGCAAGAAGAGCCUACAAACAUUUCCGAGAUUGCAUUUCGUUCAACGCGACAUAUCUCACUAAUAUGUACAAGAUGCCCGCUCCAUUCAUAGGAAUAAAUAACCACAAUACGGAUGGGUACACUUGGCUGUUCAAAACCUUCUUGGAGUGCAUGGGUGGACUUGCUCCGAUGAACAUAAUAACAGACCAGGAUUUUAGCAUGCGUGCAGGCAUAGAGGAGGUCUUUCCGUUGGCAGUGCACAGGCACUGCAGGUGGCAUAUUAUAAAGAAGGCUGGGGAGACACUAGGACCGUUCUUUGCUACUACGCAGUGCAGCGAGGGGUUCAAUGCUGUUCUAAAGCGGUACGGCGGGAUUGUGUGUUGUCACAUACUAAAAGUAAUGGACAUGAACGCGGUCACACGAAUGCCCCGCCAUUUCAUACGGCGGCGAUGGACUUGGGACGCUGACGACGCGUUGGGGCCACAAACAUCAAAUGCAGUUUUGGCUGUGCAUGAUGAGAGACCUGAGGCAACCAUGGAAGCCGUGAGGCACGUUGUGUUGACCAAGAACUAUGCUGAACUAAUAGAUGAAGCAUGCAAGAGUGAUGAGACAGUGAGGGUGGAAGAAAAACACAGGAAGGCCCUGAAAAGAGAGCUUGAUGAGGUCAAAAAGAGGAAAGUUGAAGAAGCCUUACACAGGUUCCCCCGCACCUCAAGUGUGCCUUCGUCCACGGGGCCAUCAUCUGAAAACUCGGAGGUAGGGUCUGGAACAGCAAGCACACAAACCCAGGUCAGGAACCCGCCCCGUUCCAUCACAAAAGGGCAUCCAAAAGAGGUGAGAUACAAAUCGGGGUUGGAGAUUCAAGCAAAACACAAGAAAACAAAGAAAGGGACGGGCAAUCCGUAA